rnacentral:rRNA from 1 species
AUUGAACGCUGGCGGCAGGCCUAACACAUGCAAGUCGAGCGGUAACACAGGGAGCUUGCUCCCGGGUGACGAGCGGCGGACGGGUGAGUAAUGUCUGAGAAACUGCCUGAUGGAGGGGGAUAACUACUGGAAACGGUAGCUAAUACCGCAUAACGUCGCAAGACCAAAGAGGGGGACCUUCGGGCCUCUUGCCAUCAGAUGUGCCCAGAUGGGAUUAGCUAGUAGGUGGGGUAACGGCGCACCUAGGCGACGAUCCCUAGCUGGUCUGAGAGGAUGACCAGCCACACUGGAACUGAGACACGGUCCAGACUCCUACGGGAGGCAGCAGUGGGGAAUAUUGCACAAUGGGCGCAAGCCUGAUGCAGCCAUGCCGCGUGUAUGAAGAAGGCCUUCGGGUUGUAAAGUACUUUCAGCGGGGAGGAAGGUGUUGAGGUUAAUAACCUCAGCAAUUGACGUUACCCGCAGAAGAAGCACCGGCUAACUCCGUGCCAGCAGCCGCAGUAAUAC